rnacentral:tRNA from 1 species
GCCCAUGUAGCUCAGGAGGUAUGAGCGCGUCCUUGGUAAGGACGAGGUCCGCGGUUCAAAUCCGCGCAUGGGCU